rnacentral:lncRNA from 1 species
AUUAAUGGGUUUAGUGGUGGGAUUUUUAGGAAAUUCUUAGGGAAUUCAAUGAUUAAUUCCCUAGGGUUGGUUGGGCAGCACAACGACUAGGUUUGGAUGAUAAUCGAGAUUUUGAUCGGGUGGCAUAACGGCUAGAUGGGGUUGAUACUUAAGGUUUCAAUCGGGUGGCGUAACGGCUGUGUUUGGAUGGGACUCGAGGUUUUGGACAGGCGGCAUAAUGGCUAUACCUGGACGUUAUUCGGGGUUUGGUUUGGGCAGCAUAACAGUUGUGUGGUGGAAUGGACCAGAGGCUUUAGACAGAUCCUUAAGGGGUCGGGGUUGGGCAAGAUCAAGCAGAUGCAUGGCAGCGAUAGGGUUAGCAGCGAUGAUAGGACAGCGAGGAACAACUAGCUGGGUACUAUUUAAUAAUGUGGGUAAAGUGGCUAGAGACC